ensembl:lncRNA
CUUAAACUAGGCAAAGUAUGUCUUUGGCAUUCUCUACAUUCGCGUUCUCCUGGCUUUCUAGCUCCCACAUGCUGUCCUACUUGAGUACCUUGAGUACCUGACAGAGGACUCCAUGAUUAAAGCUUACUCCAGAAGGCUUCUGUGCCCCAAAAGGACCUCACAAAUCCUCUUCUCCAACUCAAAACUUCCAUUGUCACCAAGUAGCUAUUUUCAGCUAAAAAGGUGCAAAGAGUGGUAUCUCAGUAAAUUAAUUCACAUUUUUCUGUAAGUAGCUAGUAGAUAAUUGGCAUUUUUCAAGGAAAAUGUCCAUUAAUCAAAUGAGUUUCUAGUUGCUGGGUUUUCAGGCAAUCUAACCAGAUGAGAAUAAUUGUAAAUUCAUUUUUUAUCACGGAAGAUAUUUUUGGGCAAGGGAUACACAAUAUGCCGCAGGGUCAGAUUAUCCAAUAAACUUUCUUUUUUGCACAGCUCGUUCCUUUCUGCUUCUCAGUCUGCAUUUUCUCUUAACAACUUGCAAGUCUUUUAAUCACAAUGAACUUCUAUGACAGAAUGGUGUGAAGGGAGGCUUGUGAAUGGUUGAAGUUAAGGCCAUAUUAUCUGUACUCUUGUUUCUCAUAGUGUGUGACCUAUAACAUAAGGAAUCUCCCCUCCCCAGCCCCACUUUCUAUUGUAUUGAUAAAGAAACAAGAACACAGAAAGGUUGAAUGCCCACUAUCAGUGGAGUCCGAGUCUCCAGGUCCUUUGUCUAGAUUUCAGGACACCGAGAUCCAUGAUGUUAUGAUGUUAUUUCUCAACAAGAAUGCAAGCCAUAUUAAGUAUAGAUUGGUGAACUGCAAUUAAAUUCCCAUAGAACAAUUUCUUACAUUUCAAAGCUUAUUCAGGUAUUUUUGGCAUGUAUCUCAAAAUGAAUGAUUACUGAAAUUAUCAGUACAAUUCAGUAGUGUGCUAUCUGCCUUCCUAUGAAAGAGCAUAGUGGCAUUAAUAGUGAUUAUUCACAAAUACAUUAUACUUAUGGAUGCACUGUUCCUAGUUUUCAUCUUACAAUAUUGUGAAGUCUGUUGUAUAAUUUGGAUAAAAUGAUAAUCCUUAAUCACCUAAAAUUCCAUUUGGUUGCUAAUACUUGAAGCUAUAGUAAGUCCUAAAUUAUAGACAUAAGUUUCUUUGAAACAUGAAGAAGAACACAAAGGAAAAUUAUUUUUAGAAUACAGAAAUUCAAGCUUGCUUACUUAAAGUAUACAUGUAUUCCACAUGUACCUUUUAGUUUAUUGACCAGCAAAAAAGCUAAAUGCUUAGAAAUAAACAUGUAUGUGAUUGCCAAGUUAGGAUUCUUUCUAUAUUCACAUUUCUAAACCUUGGACAGUAGAGCUUCUUUGGAUAACUGUUUUGCUUUCAUUCUAUUUGUCUAAUUAUGUGAACUAAUUUAUUCUUAAAAAGGUAUUUAUUAAGCAUCUAAUUUUAUGUGGGUCAGUGCUAGAGAAUGUACUAAGUGCAUUAGUUUCUUAAUAAAUUGUCAUAAUGUGACCAAGUAGAUUUAUUUGCUUUUUUCUUUCCUGUCAUCUAAUAUUGCUUAGGUCACAUUUAAGUUCUCUUUUCAAGUUCACUUUCUCUGAAAUUGAUACCAUUUAUAGCAAAGAAAUGUAAGUGUGUUUUUUAGUAUGAUAAAAUUAUUUUUAACAUCACAAAAGCAAUCUAGCGGGAAACAGGAAACAGCCAUUUUAAAAGUUAUACAGGAAACCUUGAUUAAAUAUCCAAAUGCCAACAUGGUUUGGAAAUGGGAAUUUAUCUUGUCUUAAAUUCCACAGCAUAAAAAAGGAGAAUGGUGGUUUUUCUUUGUUUGAUUUUUUUAGAACAGUAAGUAGUGUUGGUAGUUGUGAGUUACAUAGGGUUUAUGUAGAGAGAGCAUAAUUCGCUAUAGCCAAAAUAAAAAAAUAUUGUCUUACCAACAUUUCCCAAGCACUUUGGGAUUCCUAACUUUAUUUUUUGAUAUAGAAAAUAUGAUAUUUACUGGCAUUUUAUUGUGCUUCUCAAGACAGAAAUGGCAUUAAAUAGAAGUUGUGUGUAAAUUUGAUUCACAUGUGCUUAAAAACUUAAAAGCUGCAAUUGAAAGAAAAGGUCCCCAAUGUUCAGGUGACUGUAUUUUCUUUUUCUGACUACAGUAUGGAGUUUAUACCAUCAUUUAUUUUAUGAAUGUUUUCUUUAAAGCACUGUUCCUUUUGACAUUAAAGUUUUCAUUGUACUACAUUUUUCAUGUAAGACCAACUCUAGUAGUGCAUUUUAUGGUGUUUUUUUUCCCUCACAGUGCUGCUUAAAGAAAUGGCUAUCAUUUUGAAUUUACAACAUGCCAAAGAUGACAUAGAAAUUAUAAUUAUUUUUGUUCUUGUUAAAACUCUGUGAGCAACAUUUAUCAAGAUAUCAUGUUAAAUUACUGGCAUUCUCUGGGUACUAAAUAAAAAG